GGUUUGUGGGAAACAGGCAAAAUGAAGCCUAACAAGCACAAAGCAACACGUUCAGCUGAAAAGGAAUUUGGAGGUGCUCUUGGUGCCACCUGCAUCCCUGUGUUCCUGCCUCUGACGGUUCUGUACCUGCUGAGUGUGUGUCGGUCUCCAGCAGCCAGUGUCCUGCAGUGGCCUCCUCCUUUACCCCCCCCAGCACAGUUAUGGGACCCUUUGGCCACGGUUCUGGUUGUAGGUUGGAUCACCCUGCAGAGUUUUCUCUAUCUACUGCCCAUAGG